CACAAUGGGCAUGCUCAGUACGGCGAGUGAGCGGCAAAAGCUCAAAUUUGGAAUCUGGCGCCUUCGGCGUCCGAGUUGUAAUUUGAAGACUCUAUCUUGGAAUGCGGCGCUGUUGAAGUUCCUUGGAACAGGACGUCACAGAGGGUGAGAAUCCCGUGCGAUGGCAGCCGCGGACCGUGUAAGUUAGUGUCGACGAGUCGAGUUGUUUGGGAAUGCAGCUCUAAGUGGGUGGUAAACUCCAUCUAAAGCUAAAUAUUGGCGAGAGACCGAUAGCGAACAAGUACAGUGAUGGAAAGAUGAAAAGAACUUUGAAAAGAGAGUGAAAAAGUACGUGAAAUUGUUGAAAGGGAAGGGCUUGAGAUCAGACAUGCCUUCGGGCAGGCCAGCAUCAGCUGGAAGGGGCAGACAAGGGCGCCGCAAUGUGGCCUGGCUUCGGCGAGGUGUUAUAGGCGGCGUCGAUGUGUCCACUUCCGGCUGAGGACCGCGCUUCGGCAAGGAUGCUGGCGUAAUGAUCCCCAGCCGCCCGUCUUGAACCACGGACCA
rnacentral:rRNA from 1 species